UUUUUUUAAUUUUUUUUUACCUACAAUUUUAAAACAAUUUUUACAAGUUUCAGAAUAAUAAAUCCCAGUAUUAUAUGUAUAAUAAAUCCCAGCCCACUCUCUAUCUAUUUACUUCCACCAUAAAGCCCAGCCCAAGGCCUUUUCAACUUAAAAGAAAGAUUUGAAACCGUGGAACCUUGAAGGGUUGUGUGUGAGAAGCACAGUGUGAUACGCUUCAGCUCUAUGGUUUCACAGUAACGGUUUCAAGGACAACCAAAGAGUCUGAAAAUCUCCCCACCUUCCUACUCUACGAUUUCACAGUAACGUCCGCUUAUCUGAGUUCUUUCCUUGCUGUCUUCCUCUCCUCACAAUAUAUAAAUACUUACGGAACCUGGCUGAUUUAGUUAGAGAGGCAAGUGGUGUUGUGGACCUCUUAAGGAUGAUACAAUCAAUUUUUUUGACCUUUGAGACCCCAAUGCUCUGAAGGUGAAAUUUUCAUAACUAUGUGGGGUUACUUUGAUUUGUUUGUGAUUGUAAACAAAUAUUUUGUUGAAGAUUCAUGGAGUUAAUAUUUUUAGCCACUGUAACACAUAAGGGUUCAAAUAAAAAAUCAUGUCAAAAUCCAAGACUAGAUUGUGAUUUAUAUAAUAUCUGUUUCAAUCUCUCUCUC